AUUGAACGCUGGCGGCAGGCCUAACACAUGCAAGUCGAGCGGAUGACGGGGGCUUGCUCCUGGAUUCAGCGGCGGACGGGUGAGUAAUGCCUAGGAAUCUGCCUGGUAGUGGGGGACAACGUUUCGAAAGGAACGCUAAUACCGCAUACGUCCUACGGGAGAAAGCAGGGGACCUACGGGCCUUGCGCUAUCAGAUGAGCCUAGGUCGGAUGAGCUAGUUGGUGAGGUAAUGGCUCACCAAGGCGACGAUCCGUAACUGGUCUGAGAGGAUGAUCAGUCACACUGGAACUGAGACACGGUCCAGACUCCUACGGGAGGCAGCAGUGGGGAAUAUUGGACAAUGGGCGAAAGCCUGAUCCAGCCAUGCCGCGUGUGUGAAGAAGGUCUUCGGAUUGUAAAGCACUUUAAGUUGGGAGGAAGGGCAGUAAGCGAAUACCUUGCUGUUUUGACGUUACCGACAGAAUAAGCACCGGCUAACUCUGUGCCAGCCGCCGCAGUAA
rnacentral:rRNA from 1 species